UAGAAUUGACGGGGCCCGCACAAGCGGAGGAACAUGUGGUUUAAUCGAUGAUACGCGAGGAGCCUUACCUGGGCUUAAAUGUAGAGUGCAUUUUUUAGAGAUAGAAAUUCCCUUCGGGGCUUUCUGCAAGGUGCUGCAUGGUUGUCGUCAGCUCGUGCCGUGAGGUGUCGGGUUAAGUCCCAUAACGAGCGCAACCCUUAUCGUUAGUUGCCAGCUGGUAAAGCAGGGGACUCUAGCGAAACUGCCACCGUAAAGGUGAGAGGAAGGUGGGAUGACGUCAAAUCAGCACGGCCCUUAUGUCCAGGGCUACACACGUGUUACAAUGGCCGGCACAGAGGGCAGCUACCUGGUGACAGGAUGCUAAUCUCGAAAACCGGUCUCAGUUCGGAUCGAAGUCUGCAACUCGACCUCGUGAAGCUGGAUUCGCUAGUAAUCGCGCAUCAGCCAUGGCGCGGUCGAAUACGUUCCCGGGCCUU
rnacentral:rRNA from 1 species